CCUUCGAUAGCUCAGUUGGAAGAGCGUGGGACUGUAAUGGUUACCUAAGGCAUCCCAAGGUCACUGGUUCGAUCCCGGUUCGAAGGA
rnacentral:tRNA from 2 species